ACCUUUGCAUUCUUUUUCGUCAGACAUUUGUUUCAUUAGAGCAUUUCGUUACAUGUUGCACGUUUACAUAAUAAGUAAACCAAGCCAAAUGUUGGUUAAUUCUCAUCUUUCAACACUUUGCCAAGGAACAGACAUAAUUUUUAUUCUGGCAUACCUUUUAUUUUAUUUUUUUCUUUUUUUUACAGGCUAUGAAGGAAAUAGCGCUGAUGAGAAAUAAGAAGGAAGAAGUCGCAAACUGACCAUCCCUUCCUCUUCUAGAUUACCGUAAUUUAUGCAGAGAUCGUUGAUCUACAGCACUUGGGGUAGAGCCUUAUCUUUUAGCAUCAAUCCACUAAUGGUAAGAUUUCAUUCACGCA